GAUGAAGAACGCAGCGAAAUGCGAUACGUAAUGUGAAUUGCAGAAUUCAGUGAAUCAUCGAAUCUUUGAACGCAUAUUGCGCUCUCUGGUAUUCCGGAGAGCAUGCUUGUUUGAGUAUCAGUAAACACCUCAACUUCCAUAUCUUUUUUGAAAUGGGAGUUGGACUUGAGUGAUCCCAACGCUUUUCCUCACCGAAAAGUGGCGGGUUACUUGAAAUGCAGGUGCAGCUGGACUUUUCUCUGAGCUAUAAGCAUAUCUAUUUAGUCUGCCUAAAAAACAGAUUAUUACCUUUGCUGCAGCUAACAUAAAGGAGAUUAGUUCUUGUGCUGACUGAUGCAGGAUUCACAAAGACGGCUUCGGCCGACUUUGUAAACUCGAUCUCAAAUCAAGUAAGACUACCCGCUGAACUUAAGCAUAUCAAUGAGCGGAGGA
rnacentral:misc_RNA from 1 species